rnacentral:rRNA from 1 species
GAUGAACGCUGGCGGCGUGCCUAAUACAUGCAAGUCGAGCGAAUGGAUUAAGAGCUUGCUCUUAUGAAGUUAGCGGCGGACGGGUGAGUAACACGUGGGUAACCUGCCCAUAAGACUGGGAUAACUCCGGGAAACCGGGGCUAAUACCGGAUAACAUUUUGAACCGCAUGGUUCGAAAUUGAAAGGCGGCUUCGGCUGUCACUUAUGGAUGGACCCGCGUCGCAUUAGCUAGUUGGUGAGGUAACGGCUCACCAAGGCAACGAUGCGUAGCCGGCCUGAGAGGGGGAUCGGCCACCCGGGGACUGGGACACGGCCCAGACUCCUACGGGAGGCAGCAGUAGGGAAUCUUCCGCAAUGGACGAAAGUCUGACGGAGCAACGCCGCGUGAGUGAUGAAGGCUUUCGGGUCGUAAAACUCUGUUGUUAGGGAAGAACAAGUGCUAGUUGAAUAAGCUGGCACCUUGACGGUACCUAACCAGAAAGCCACGGCUAACUACGUGCCAGCCGCCGCAGUAA